CUUAUAACAAUGGCUUUAGUGGCGGACUGGUGAGUAACACGUGAGCAACCUGCCUAUCAGAGGGGAAUAACAGUGAGAAAUCAUUGCUAAUACCGCAUAUGCCAUAAAUAUCACAUGAUGAAAGUGGGAAAGGAGUAAUCCGCUGAUAGAUGGGCUCGCGUCUGAUUAGAUAGUUGGUGGGGUAACGGCCUACCAAGUCGACGAUCAGUAGCCGGACUGAGAGGUUGAACGGCCACAUUGGGACUGAGAUACGGCCCAGACUCCUACGGGAGGCAGCAGUCGGGAAUAUUGCGCAAUGGAGGAGACUCUGACGCAGUGACGCNGUUUAUAGGAAGAAGGUUUUCGGAUUGUAAACUAUUGUCGUUAGGGAAGAUACAAGACAGUACCUAAGGAGGAAGCUCCGGCUAACUACGUGCCAGCAGCCGCGGUAAUACGUAGGGAGCAAGCGUUAUCCGGAUUUAUUGGGUGUAAAGGGUGCGUAGACGGGAAAGCAAGUUAGUUGUGAAAUCCCUCGGCUUAACUGAGGAACUGCAACUAAAACUACUUUUUCUUGAGUGGUUGGAGAGGAAAGUGGAA
rnacentral:rRNA from 1 species